CUAACCGUAAACGAUGACAACCAGCGAUUAAUCGGCGUUAAUAUAUGACCCGAUUAGCAGCUUCCGGGAAACCAAAGUUUUUCGUUUCCGGGGGAAGUAUGGUUGCAAAGCUGAAACUUAAAGGAAUUGACGGAAGGGCACCACCAGGAGUGGAGCCUGCGGCUUAAUUUGACUCAACACGGGAAAACUCACCCGGCCCGGACACCGUAAGGAUUGACAGACUGAGAGCUCUUUCUUAAUUCGGUGGGUGGUGGUGCAUGGCCGUUCUUAGUUGGUGGAGCGAUUUGUCUGGUUAAUUCCGAUAACGAACGAGACUCUGGCCUAUUAAAUAGACGAUAUAUUUAAAAGUAUAUCGCGCUUCUUAGAGGGACAAGCGGCGUCUAGCCGCAUGAAAUAGAGCAAUAACAGGUCUGUGAUGCCCUUAGAUGUCCGGGGCUGCACGCGCGCUACACUGAAAGAAUCAGUGUGCGUUACGCCUAGUUCGGAAGAACCGGGUAACCCAAGUAAAUUCUUUCGUGCUUGGGAUAGGGAAUUGCAAUUAUUUCCCUUAAACGAGGAAUUCCCAGUAAAUGCGGGUCAUAAGCUCGCGUUG
rnacentral:rRNA from 15 species